rnacentral:rRNA from 1 species
GUGGGGAAUAUUGGACAAUGGGCGAAAGCCUGAUCCAGCCAUGCCGCGUGUGUGAAGAAGGUCUUCGGAUUGUAAAGCACUUUAAGUUGGGAGGAAGGGUAGUAACCUAAUACGUUGCUACUUUGACGUUACCGACAGAAUAAGCACCGGCUAACUUCGUGCCAGCAGCCGCGGUAAUACGAAGGGUGCAAGCGUUAUUCGGAAUUACUGGGCGUAAAGCGCGCGUAGGUGGUUCAGUAAGUUGGAAGUGAAAUCCCCGGGCUCAACCUGGGAACUGCUUUCAAAACUGCUGAGCUAGAGUACGGUAGAGGGUGGUGGAAUUUCCUGUGUAGCGGUGAAAUGCGUAGAUAUAGGAAGGAACACCAGUGGCGAAGGCGACCACCUGGACUGAUACUGACACUGAGGUGCGAAAGCGUGGGGAGCAAACAGGAUUAGAAACCCCAGUAGUCC